UACGGAGGAUGCAAGCGUUAUCCGGAAUGAUUGGGCGUAAAGCGUCCGCAGGUGGCAAUGUAAGUCUGCUGUCAAAGCGUCUGGCUCAACCAGAUACAGGCAGUGGAAACUACAUAGCUAGAGUAAGGUAGGGGUAGAGGGAAUUCCUGGUGUAGCGGUGAAAUGCGUAGAGAUCAGGAAGAACACCGGUGGCGAAGGCGGCAUCCUGGACCGACACUGACGCUGAGGCGCGAAAGCUAGGGUAGCAAACGGG
rnacentral:rRNA from 1 species